GGAGAGGUGGCUGAGUGGUCGAAAGCACCGGUUUGCUAAAUCGGCGUACGGGUCAAACUGUACCGCAGGUUCGAAUCCUGUCCUCUCCGC
rnacentral:tRNA from 2 species